UACGAAGGGUGCAAACGUUGCUCGGAAUUAUUGGGCGUAAAGCGCACGUAGGCGGCUUGGCAAGUCGGAUGUGAAAUCCCUCGGCUCAACCAAGGAAGUGCAUCCGAAACUGCUGAGCUUGAGUACUUAAGAGGAUCGCGGAAUUCCCGGUGUAGAGGUGAAAUUCGUAGAUAUCGGGAGGAACACCAGUGGCGAAGGCGGCGACCUGGGUUGACACUGACGCUGAGGCGCGAAAGCGUGGGGAGCAAACAGG
rnacentral:rRNA from 1 species